rnacentral:rRNA from 1 species
UACGGGGGGUGCAAGCGUUAUUCGGAUUUACUGGGCGUAAAGCGCGCGUAGGCGGCCGUUUAAGUCAGAUGUGAAAGCCCGGGGCUCAACCCCGGAAGUGCAUUUGAUACUAUUCGGCUUGAGUAUGGGAGAGGGAAGUGGAAUUCCUGGUGUAGAGGUGAAAUUCGUAGAUAUCAGGAGGAACACCGGUGGCGAAGGCGACUUCCUGGACCAAUACUGACGCUGAGGCG